rnacentral:rRNA from 1 species
AUAUCAAUAAGCGGAGGAAAAGAAACCAACAGGGAUUGCCUCAGUAACGGCGAGUGAAGCGGCAUCAGCUCAAAUUUGAAAUCCGGCAACAGCCAGAAUUGUAAUUUGAAGAGGAUAGUUCGGUCAAUGUGUCGGUCUAAGUCGUAUGGAAUUACUUCUCAGAGAGGGUGAAAAGCCCGUAUCCGGCUGAUAACUGCGACCAUGUGAACUACCUUCGACGAGUCGAGUAGUUUGAGAUUGCUGCUCUAAAUGGGUGGUAAAUUCCAUCUAAAGCUAAAUAUUGGAUCAACACCGAUAGCGCACAAGUAGUGUGAACGAAAGAUUAAAAGAACUUUGGAAAGAGAGUGAAACAGUACCUGAAAUUGUUGAAAGGGAAGCGUAUUCUUUCAGACCAGGUUGCAAUGUUCCCUCAUUCGAAAGAGUGACUUACUCAUUGUUAGCCAAGUCAGCAUCGAUUUAGGUGGUUGGAUAAAGCUCUUAGGACCCUCUUCGGAGGUGCCUUUGAAAUAAUACAGCCAACUUGGAUCGAGGAACGCAUUCUACGGAUGUUGACAUAAUGGAAGAAUACGG